UGCAUCGGCCGGGAAUCGAACCCGGGCCGCCCGCGUGGCAAGGCGAGCAUUCUAUCACUGUGACCCACCGAUGC